rnacentral:rRNA from 1 species
AUGAGCUUCUACAGCCUCCAUGAGACUCUCCAUCAUGACAUCACCAAGGUCCAGGCUAGAUUCGUCUGGGCCGGGGAUGGUGAUAAGCAGAAGUAUCAUAUGGUCCGUUGGCCCGACAUAUGGAAGCCACGUGACCAGGACGGGCUUGGGAACAUGUCCUCUAAGCGCAUGAAUGUUGCUCUCCUGACCCGCUGGUUGUGGCAGAUUAUGAAUGGGGAGGGCGGCCUCUGGCUUGACAUCAUCCAAAACAAAUAUCUGCAAGGCCAGUCGCUCGCCUUUUGUCAGCGGUCUGGUGGUUCACAGUUCUGGUAA